AUGGCCAUAAACAAGCUAUUUCAAUUCGAAAAGGUCGAUCCUGUCAAAACUGUUCGAGGAUGUAAACAAUCUCAUAUACAUUCAUCUUCAAACGCUCGCUGUUCCGACUUGGCUGCAAAAAAUAUCGCGCUAUGAAUUGGCAGCUUGUGAUUUUCACCAGCCCUUAAUAGCCAUCCGUGCGAGAACUUUGGAUAUGAAAAUAUAAAAAUACUGGAGAAAUUGUCAACGUUCCGCCCAGAAUCCGCGUCGUCAAAUAAAAGCCGAUAUCACUGAAAUCGUCACGGGAUUUAAAACACGGUGUGCAACGACGUCGACGGUACCAUUAAGGGAGGAUAAGAUCCCAUUGUGGGAGAUUAAGGAUGCCGGUGGUGUGCAACGGUUCCGAGAAAUUUCGAAACUCGUUCUCGAUCUUUUGAGUUUGCCAUUUUCGAACGCGCCUUUUCUAUACUGAGUAUAGUGAAGGACAAACUGCGUAACAAAGUGUCUGUUGCCAUGGUCGGAGCAAUAAAGUCGAACAAUGUUCGACUUACGCUCAGUAUCGAUUGCUGUUAUUUCAAGCCGACAGUCCGUAUGUUGAAGCUCUUCAAUUCGGAGAAUAUUUAUCAAAAUAUCAGUGACAGCGACAAUAGAACACUUGAUAUUUUUCCUGACAAUUAAAGCCGAACUUUACGUGUCUGUGACUUAGAAUUCUCGAAAUUAAUCUACAAACGGUCUUCUGUAACCAAAAACCGAAUAAAAUCCAUUUUCUAUUUCGUAAUGCCUUUCAUUUCCCAACAAUCUCAACAAGACCGCCGCUUUAAAGAAUCGCGCCAUGGCUCAUGCGAGGCAUCCAAGGGAAUUUUUGGGGGGAAAUCAAAUUAGUCAAAGGUACGUCGCAGAGACCACCUGGAAACACUGACAACAACCCUAGUCAAAACACAAAAUCAAAUGUUGUUUACUCCGUGAUUUAUUUAAAAUAAAACAAGAGCCGUCUACCUAUGUUAACAGCUGUAAAAAUACAGAAGACGCCUACAAUAGUAAAAAUACUACUACCGCGACAAUUUUACUUUGGUGAAGCUGAAGAUUAAAAUAUUAAUUAUUAUAACAUCGGCAAACGACCCUAAGGGGCAGCCAGCCAUGGAUACCUAUGGUGCGUGUGUUACCGGCCUUUGAGGGAGUAAUAACCUGUCUUAAAAUAAUUGGACGUUGUGUCUUUCAGAGAAGACCUCCAACGGAUUACACAGUCAGCAAAAUAUUUGAGUACCAGUAAAAAGUUUUCAGAGUUUGACUACUUUCACUACCAUAAGGGUAUUGUUUUGUACACCUAAAAGAAUCGUAACAAUUGUCCCUAUUUUCUAUAAUUGUACUGAGCAAGAAAUAAGGUAUAUAAAAUAAUCUAUGCACAUUUUGUGUAUUGUAUACUCAAACUUAACAUUGCCCAAUUUACCUUGUCACAAUAUGCCCUGUAUCCGUUGGCUUGAAAUCAAUGUUUACAAAAGUCAAUUAACAACAUGUUAUAAAAUGUACACAUCACCAUCUAGUUAAUAUGAGAGCCUUAUUAGAUGAAAUUGCAUUAAACAUAUGUAAAUUUUGAAAUUUAAUGUUUUGGAACAGAAAAAACACUAUCUUACUCAUAAAUAAUGGAUAGCAGAGAGAAGCCUCUGAAUGCCAAAUUUAGUUACUAUUGCAAAUAGCAGACUUGGGAACUUCCACCAUAACGCAAAUAUUAAAUUAGUCCAUAUCUAUAAGAUUGUUUUUAGUACCUAUACCUCAGGUAACAAAAUUUAGUUUAUUAUAAUAUAGAUCAGGACUAGUCAUUGGAUUUAAGAGGUAGCACCACAGUCCAAAUCCUAAUAAAUAAUUACAGACAAUAACAAAACGCUCUAAGGGUGGAAACAGAGCAACGUCACUAAAGUUUGGGAAUCCCAUGUGGUUGCAGAAUAUAUGGGCCAUUAAUGGUGCAAUAAAAUGACCUGAAACAGAAGAUGUUUUAAACAAAAUAUAAGACUUUACAAACCCACAUACUAUAAGCAAUACCAAGAUUUAGUAUCAUUACCUUGCACUUGAAUAAAUAUAUUUUUAUGAUUUGGUUUGUUAAUUUUACAGUGUAGAAUAUAUAUAUAAACAGUUAAAUAAUCCCAACAGACAUAAUGAGUCAGGAGCAAGUCUUGCUAGCCAAUAAUGAAUAAUUAACAUAAAUUACACUUAAGUUAUGUUACUUACCGCUUCUCAAGAACAAAAAUGAUGAAUAAGCACCAAACAUUGUAGUGUAUGUAAAUUGAAAAG